rnacentral:lncRNA from 1 species
GAAAUAUGUGAAACUACAGGUGCAAACAGGUUGAUUUUAAGUUGCCUGGAGACAGAUCUCCUAAUGAGCUUCACUUCCCUGGAAGAACAGAAGGAGUUCAGGAAAUUUAAUAGUGCUAGACACUGCCAACCUUUCCUACCCAGAAAAAAAAGCUUCCUAGCUACCGCUGCAGUUCCAGACACAAGAACUUGGAUUUGUUUCCUCAAUGGACAUCACAUGCUACCCCCAAUAAACCAGCGCUUUGGUAACACGCAACAGGAAACGCGCGCCUCUGCAAGUGGACUCCGCGCCACGCUCGCGGAGCAGAAACCCCAUCAGAGCCCUCCAAGUAUUACUUGACGCGAGAGCCCAGAGGCUUCUAGCUCCUAACCCUGCGGCCGCGCCCCUGUGUGUUCCUGUUGGCAUACCAAGAGCUAAGACAGCAGCAGAAAGAGCCCGCCUACUUUUUGCCCAACAACAGCACGACUCCUAUGUCCAAACCGGCGGCUUGAACAAACCAGUAGGUGUGAGCAGAACAAAAAGCUCAGCCCCACCAGUAGCCCACCCGCCAGAAAUAAGCGCCCUAGAAAUCCCAGACACCAUCCUUCACAGGCCCCAGGAAGAAACGAAAACUAAACCUCACAGCAACCAAGCGUCACUGACUCAAAUCAAAACGAAACCGAUCCUCGAGCUCCCUAAAAAGCGAAAAUACCUACCUUCAGUGGCUUUUCCUUGGAAGCUGACGAUGAUCCAACAAAGUCAGGGUUCCCUGCUCCACACUUUCUCCCUCAGUCUUUGCCAACACACGAGAAGGGAAGCACAGGCCACAAACGGCGGUAACUGUGCUCCAACACCACCAGAGAGCUUUGAUGCACGAAACGGAGAUCUUCGCCCCACAGCAGAUCGCUCUGACCGAGAGACAAAUAGCUGCAGCAUAGGAACAGGAACGGCAUUCUUGCUGUGCCAAGUCUGGAACAGUGAGUCUCUUCAAGCUAGGGGAUGGUUCUCCCCCCCCAGUGGAGAAGAACAGCUCUCUCCGGGCGCUCUACCAAAGCGCCCAGACGCUCCUGCCAGCCGCUGGAGAGUCUCCUGCAGGACCCGUUCUAAGAUCAGGAGAGGCGGGAGUGUACAGCUUCUCCAACGACGCACUCCAAAGGACUGCCCUCUGUCCCGCGGCAGCGCGGCCUUGCCUUAUAUACCCACCUCGCG